rnacentral:rRNA from 1 species
CCUACGGGGGGCAGCAGUAGGGAAUAUUGCACAAUGGGGGAAACCCUGAUGCAGCGACGCCGCGUGAAGGAUGAAGUAUUUCGGUAUGUAAACUUCUAUCAGCAAGGAAGAAAAUGACGGUACUUGACUAAGAAGCCCCGGCUAAAUACGUGCCAGCAGCCGCGGUAAUACGUAUGGGGCAAGCGUUAUCCGGAUUUACUGGGUGUAAAGGGAGCGUAGGCGGUACGGCAAGUCAGAAGUGAAAGCCUGGGGCUCAACCCCGGAAUUGCUUUUGAAACUGUCGAACUAGAGUGUCGGAGGGGUAA